GGAAAGAGAAGGUUGGAUCUUCAGGGCGAGUCUAGCCAAUCACCAACUAAAAAACAACGACUUCACACAAAACCAGGAUCAUACUCAGAAGAAAUCAUACUGUCUGAUGUGAAAAAGAUCAUGGAAGGUGUCAAAAAGAAAAUACCUAGCCAAGACAACAAGCUAAACAAUUUCCUGAGGAAAGAAAUCAGUGGUUUGGAGACAGACAAGAGGGAGAUGGUCGGUGUCUUUGGCAAAACCGGGGCUGGAAAGAGCUCUUUGAUAAAUGCCGUCAUUGGAGUGAAGAAUCUCUUGCCCUCUGGAAGAGUCAGAGCAUGUACCUCAGUCAUGAUUAAAGUGGAGGCUAACAUGCAGAACUCAAAGUAUGAGGCAGACAUUGAGUUCAUUACAG